rnacentral:rRNA from 1 species
AUUGAACGCUGGCGGAAUGCUUUACACAUGCAAGUCGAACGGCAGCACGGACUUCGGUCUGGUGGCGAGUGGCGAACGGGUGAGUAAUGUAUCGGAACGUGCCCAGUCGUGGGGGAUAACGUAGUGAAAAUUACGCUAAUACCGCAUACGAUCUAUGGAUGAAAGCGGGGGAUCGCAAGACCUCGCGCGAUUGGAGCGGCCGAUAUCAGAUUAGGUAGUUGGUGGGGUAAAGGCCCAUCAAGCCAACGAUCUGUACCUGGUCUGAGAGGACGACCAGCCACACUGGAACUGAGACACGGUCCAGACUCCUACGGGAGGCAGCAGUGGGGAAUUUUGGACAAUGGGCGAAAGCCUGAUUCAGCCAUUCCGCGUGCAGGAUGAAGGCCCUCGGGUUGUAAACUGCUUUUGUACAGAACGAAAAGGUUUCUACUAAUACUAGGAGCUCAUGACGGUACUGUAAGAAUAAGCACCGGCUAACUACGUGCCAGCCGCCGCAGUAA